rnacentral:misc_RNA from 1 species
GUAGGUGAACCUGCGGAAGGAUCAUUAACACGAAUUUUAUCCAAUAUCAAAACAAACCGUGAACUUUUCCCCUCCCUAUUUUGUUUUACAAACACGAAAUAGGCUAACCAUUUUUAUUUUUUUUUUUCAAAAAAAUAAUUUUUAACCACUUUAAAUUUUCUCAGUCUGGAUGUUUAAUUUACAUCAUAAAGACUAUAACUAAACUAAAAAAUUUUACUUAAGAUGUAAUGUCUUAAUGAAACUAUUUUUUCUUUACGAAAUAAAUAUUUUACUUAUAAGAACAACUCUUAGCAAUGGAUAUCUUGGUUCUC